GAAACCAACCGGGAUUAGCCUCAGUAACGGCGAGUGAAGCGGCAAAAGCGUCAAAUUUGAAAUCUGGCACUUUCAGUGUCCGAGUUGUAAUUUGUAGAAGUAGUUUUGGGACUGGUCCUUAUCUAUGUUUCUUGGAACAGGACGUCAUAGAGGGUGAGAACCCCGUAUGAUGAGGCCCCCAGUCCUUUGUAAAACGCUUUCGAAGAGUCGAGUUGUUUGGGAAUGCAGCUCUAAGUGGGUGGUAAAUUCCAUCUAAAGCUAAAUAUUGGCGAGAGACCGAUAGCGAACAAGUACAGUGAUGGAAAGAUGAAAAGAACUUUGAAAAGAGAGUGAAAAAGUACGUGAAAUUGUUGAAAGGGAAGGGCAUUUGAUCAGACUAUGGUGUUUUGCGCCCUUUUGCUCCUUGUGGGCGGAGGAUACGCAGCUCACUGGGCCAACAUCAGUUUUGGGAGCAGGAUAAAUCUGUAGGAACGUAGCUUUCUUCGGGAAGUGUUAUAGCCUAUGGGAAUACUGCUACCUGGGGA
rnacentral:rRNA from 1 species